CUCAGCCCAGAUGAACUUGCACUGAAAUGCCGGUCAGAGCUGGAAAAGUUACAUUCCAUUACCAGAGAGCAGAUAUCUGCAGUUGAAGAAGAGUCCAGGGGCCAAGCAACAUCAACAACUUGGUUUCAACAAAGAGCUGGGCGAAUUACGGCCUCGAAUUUUAAGGCAACGACCAGGACCAAUGUCUCAAAGCCAUCCAAGUCAUUGAUCAAGAGAAUCUGCUAUCCUGAACUGUGUAGAUUUUCAACAGCCGCAACUAGAUGGGGUUGCGAUCACAAGUCGGACGCAAGGAAGCGGUACGAAAUGAUAAUGACCCAGCGGCACACUGGCCUAAACGUUGACGAAACCGGAUUCCACAUGUCUGCCGACCGUCCAUAUUUUGGCGCAUCACCGGAUGGGCUACUCUCGUGUGACUGCUGUGGCAAAGGGUGCCUCGAAAUUAAGUGUCCCUUCUGCAUCAAAGAUAAAGGAGUGGAAGAGGUUGCUGGUGAGUCCAAGGCGGUCUGUUUGGAGCAGAAAUCGAACGGCAAUUGCGUGCUACGUGAAGACCACCAGUAUUAUUACCAAGUACAAUCACAACUGUAUUGUACUGGCAGGAAGUACUGUGACUUUGUCGUAUGGAAGGAGAAUCUACUCUUUAUUCAGCGCAUCAUUCCUGAUGAUUCCUUCCUGGCAAACGAACUGGCCAAGAUGGACAAUUUCUAUCUCCGUUGUAUUAUGCCAGAGCUAUUAGCUAAAGUGUACACGGUAGAACAAUCUGUUGCUACCACUGCAUCCGCUUCGGAAGAGUUUGUUUGCUACUGCCGUAACCCUCCCACUGAGGAUAUGUUGGUUUGUAAAUCCGAGCACUGCAGCAUCAAAGCAUUCCACAUGAAAUGUCUUGGCAUAAAACGAGUCCCACAACGAUGGUUUUGCCCUAACUGUAAGAAGUUGGAAGUAAAACAGAAAAAGUUGUUUCUGUAAGAUUCUUUCCUGGUAUUUAAUACAGAAAAAAUAUGGAUGCAACAUCAUUACUCAAAUGGUACAAUUGGGUCGGAUAAAUUUGUAAGUGCGCAUGACACUUGUACAAUUUUAUCUAAUGUUGUGAAACCACUGUCAUCCGAUGACAAUAAAGA